rnacentral:rRNA from 1 species
AUGAUGUUCUAUGACAUGUUUCUCUUUACAUCUGGAGAAACAUCUGGAUGGCAGGAGUUUGUAGAUGCAAAUAAAAUACAAGAAGGUCACUCGAUUAUGUUUGUGUAUUGCGGGAACUCCACCUUCAAGGUUAAUAUAUCCAAUUUAUCCGGCCGUGAGAAUCCUUCAUCCUCCUCUGAACCACGUCCCAAGAUCCUUGGAGCCAUUCCUCCUCCCCGUGCUUCUUGUGAUCAUCAUGUGCCAAUGAAAGAACAAGUGGUGCAUGAUCCCCCUGGACAUGUUGACACCUCAACUGACGUUGGCUAUAAGUUGUCAAGUGGGUGUUGUCUAACCAAAGCAUAG